UUGAAAUUUAAAUUGUUAGGAUUGAAAAAUAGAUAUAUUAUUUUGUAAUGAGAUUGGAAUAGUUUUAUAACGAUAGAUAAGGGUAUUGUAAAAGAGGAUUUGAAAAAAUGAAAAGAAUAUUGAUAUGAAGUAGUAAUAUUGUACCUUUUGUAUCAGGGGUUAAUUAAAUAAAAUAAAUAUUUUAUAAAUCCCGAAAGAUUUUGAGCUACUAUAAUAAGGUUGAUAUUGUUUCAGAAAUAUCAAAAAGUUUAAGUAGAAAUGAAAUUUUAAUCGAAAAGUUUGAUAUCUGGUUGUUUUAGAAAAAUUAUAUAUUUUAAAUAAUGUAUUUUUAUUUGUGAAAUUUAUUGAGUUUUUUCUUUAGGGAUAAGCUUAGAGGGGAUUUAUAAAUUUUUAUAUGUUUUGUAAGGGGUUUAAAAGUUACUUGUUUAUUUGUAAUAAAAUAGCAUUAAUAAGUUGUAAUUUUAUUUAAUUGAUUUUUUAUUUAAUUAAAAAUAAAAGGAUUUAUGUUGAUAUGAGUAUAAGUUUUAAUGUAGGGAUAAAGUUAAGUUUUAUUUUUAAAGAUGUAAAAUAAAUUAUCAGGAAUUAGGCAAAAUUAAUUUUUGGCUGUUUAACAAAAACAUAGUAUUUUGAAUUAAUAAAAUGUUUGACCUGCUCAAUGAUGAUUAAAUUGCUGUGGUAUUUUGACUAUACGAAGGUAUUGAAAUAAGGUUUUUAUUGGAUGCUAAGAGAAUGGUUAUACAGGGAUUGACUUUCUUGUGAUUUAAAAUAGAAUUUGAUUUAAAAGUGAAAAAGCUUUUAUGUUUUUUUGGGACAAGAAGACCCUAUGAAUUUUUUUUAUAAUGUUGUUUGGUAUUUAUUAAAAUAAAUAAAAUAUUUUUAUAAAUUGAUUGGGGUGAUUUUUAAAAUGAAUAACUUUAAAAUAGAAGGAAUUAGAACCAAAAAUUUUGGUUAAUUGAAUAAAAUACUCUAGGGAUAACAGCGUAAUUAUUUUGGAUAGUUCAUAUAGAUAAAAUAGUUUGCGACCUCGAUGUUGGAUUAAGAUACUUAUAUAAUGUAGCAGUUAUAUUAAGGAGUUUGCUCAACUUUUGAAAUCUUACAUGAUCUGAGUUCAGACCGGCGUAAGCCAGGUCGGUUUCUAUCUAAAUAGAUAUAUAUAUUUUUAUAGUACGAAAGGAAUUGAAAAUAUGAAAUAUUUGGAAAAUUAAUUUUUAAAGAUAACUUUAGUU
rnacentral:rRNA from 1 species